UGGGGAAUAUUGCACAAUGGGCGCAAGCCUGAUGCAGCCAUGCCGCGUGUAUGAAGAAGGCCUUCGGGUUGUAAAGUACUUUCAGCGGGGAGGAAGGUGUUGAGGUUAAUAACCUCAGCAAUUGACGUUACCCGCAGAAGAAGCACCGGCUAACUCCGUGCCAGCAGCCGCGGUAAUACGGAGGGUGCAAGCGUUAAUCGGAAUUACUGGGCGUAAAGCGCACGCAGGCGGUCUGUCAAGUCGGAUGAAAUCCCCGGGCUCAACCUGGGAACUGCAUUCGAAACUGGCAGGCUAGAGUCUUGUAGAGGGGGGUAGAAUUCCAGGUGUAGCGGUGAAAUGCGUAGAGAUCUGGAGGAAUACCGGUGGCGAAGGCGGCCCCCUGGACAAAGACUGACGCUCAGGUGCGAAAGCGUGGGGAGCAAACA
rnacentral:rRNA from 1 species